UUGUUCAUUCCUCUUCAUUCAUCACCUUACGCGAAGCCAAUUGCAAAAACGAGAACGCGUAUAUCUUCAUUCCCAAAUCGCCAAAUCCCUAAAAAUCCCAAAGCGCCAUCUUCAUUGAAUCCAAUCAUUCCCAAUUUCUUCAAUCAUUCUCCAAUCUCUUCGUUUUCAUUCGUUUUGAUUCGGUUUCAUUCUCCAAACCCUAGACGGCCGACCCCUUUUUCAUUCGUUGUCAACGAUUUCAUCCCGUCUUCGAUUCCCUUUUGUUCGCCGUCAACGAUUCCCUUCCAUCAACCUUCAGUUCUCAUCACCGUUGAACUCAAGCCGCCGUUUCUUCGAUUCUCAUCAUAAACCCAGUCGCUGUUUCACAUAGAUUGAUUUGAGAUGUUUACAUGGUAAGCAUAGGUAUUGAGUUUCCUGUUGAAUGCGCUCAAGGAUGUAUGAGAUAUAUUGGUAUUUAUGCUCGAUUUUAUGCUCGAUCAUAUUUCAUUUUAAUAUAUUUCAUAUGUGAUGUCUCAGGGAUGGUUUGUGGUAGUAGGCUCAGUGUGGGGGUGGUGUCGAUUUUAUGCCUCCAAAAGCUUAUGUAGUCCGCUCUGCUAUUUUUCUUGUUUUUUCUGCGUUUUUCCUUGUCUUUGGCUGUGAGAUUUGGUUCUCUGCUUUCCUGACUGUGUGAUUUGGUUCCCUGCAUUUUUUGUUUUCGUGGCUGCAUCUACUGUGUUGAGGUUAGGGUCACCUGAUGCAUACCCAGCAAAUUGUUAAGAUUUUAUGCUUCUUAGCUAAGUAAUGUAGACAUUAUAACCCUUAGAACUCAACCAUUCCCUAUCUAAGAAUAUCUAAGGAUAUGGGUUUUCAAGAUUUUCACUUGAGGUAUAAUAUUAUCAAGGUUUGUCUGUGGGAAAUGGAUUCUAAACUGAAAUUAUCAAAGAGACCUAUUCUUGGUAUAAAGGUUUGGGCAAUAAUUUCAAUUUUGGUUCGUUUGUCAACUAUAAUUCUCACUGUUCUUUGACUGUGUUUUACUUCAAGAAAGAAAUCUAGAAAAGAAAAUGAACUUGGUGAAGGCUGGAUAUGGAGUGGUUUAUUAGGGACAGUUGAUCAAUGGGAGUGCAUUAACAGUUAAAAAGAUACUCAAUAAUAUGGACUUGAGUUGUAUGGUGAUACAAGAUUUUUGCUUUAUGGGCCUCCAAGUUGUGGUAGAACACAAAUUGCCAAAACUGUUACCAAUGAGGCGGGAUCUAAUUUCAUUUAUAUUAAGUUCGUGGCUGUGAAGUGAAGACUGCUACAUAACACAUCAAGUAGCCACUCAUCCAAAUUAGCUUAACUCAGUCAACUAUCUCUAUGCUCAAAUUAAAUGAUGCAAAUGUGGUGGACUGCAUCUAUAACAAGGUGAAAAUUGCAGCCAUUGAAAUGGUGGUCCAAGACUGUAGGGAGGUGUUGUAUGGUAUGUCAAAUGUUAGUGUCUUGUUUGUUGGUAGAAGUCUUAAUGUUGAUGAUCAUAACAUGGCCUCUUUGGUAGAAAUCUUAAUGUUAAGUAUUGACUUUUAAUGUGUUGAAUGUAACUUUGUUAGCUUGUUAAUUAGUAUUUUAUGACUUGUGACUUGUGGAAUUGACAAUGACUUGUGAUGGAAUUGGUAUUUUAUGAAGGAUUGGUAUUUUAGAAUUGGUAUUUUAGGAAUUGGUAUUUUAGGAUUGGUAUUUUAGGAAUUGGUAUUUUAGGACUGUUUAUCAGGUGAUGGAAUUGGUAUUUUAGGAUGUGCAUACUGUUCUAGAGUUUUGAUUUUU